AACGUAGGUGGCGAGCGUUAUCCGGAUUUACUGGGCGUAAAGGGUGUGCAGGCGGGCUUUUAAGUGGUGUAUGAAAUCGUCCGGCUCAACCGGGCGAGGUUAUGUCAGACUGGCAGUCUAGAGAGCGAGAGAGGGACGUGGAAUUCCGGGUGUAGUGGUGAAAUGCGUAGAGAUCCGGAGGAACCCCAGAGGCGAAGGCGGCGUCCUGGCUCGCAUCUGACGCUCAGACACGACAGCAUGGGGAGCGAACGGG
rnacentral:rRNA from 1 species